rnacentral:rRNA from 1 species
AUUGAACGCUGGCGGCAUGCUUUACACAUGCAAGUCGAACGGCAACAGGUUAAGCUGACGAGUGGCGAACGGGUGAGUAAUGCAUCGGAACGUGCCCGGUCGUGGGGGAUAACACUUCGAAAGAAGUGCUAAUACCGCAUACGAUCUGAGGAUGAAAGCGGGGGACCGUAAGGCCUCGCGCGAUCGGAGCGGCCGAUGUCAGAUUAGGUAGUUGGUGGGGUAAAGGCCUACCAAGCCGACGAUCUGUAGCUGGUCUGAGAGGACGACCAGCCACACUGGGACUGAGACACGGCCCAGACUCCUACGGGAGGCAGCAGUGGGGAAUUUUGGACAAUGGGCGCAAGCCUGAUCCAGCAAUGCCGCGUGCAGGAAGAAGGCCUUCGGGUUGUAAACUGCUUUUGUACGGAGCGAAAAGGCUCUCUCUAAUACAGGGGGUUGAUGACGGUACCGUAAGAAUAAGCACCGGCUAACUACGUGCCAGCCGCCGCGGUAAAAC